AGGGCACUGCUCACUUCCUGGAUUCGCACCAGGGCUGACCAAACGCUCAGAAGCUUUGAGAGAGAAAUGCUUGACAAUACCAUUCUGGAAAUGAAGCCCCCAAGUCUUUCACUGAAUUCUCGUAUCCAAUGGCAGCGUACAACCCACUUCAAUAACAACAUUCCAAUAUAUGAUCAAGAUGUAGUCCUCCCCAUGUGGUAAAUGGUCUAUCUGGAAACAAAGACAGUGUUUUACCUAAUCCACAGGAGUGCCUAUCUCAUGGGAGCUACCAUUAUAUAACCACCGCUGUUUUACCCACUACCUUCAUAUUCUGCGUAUGGUGGAACUCGAAAAGCCAACUCCACUGUUUGACCUGCAUUUCCAAGGCUGAACUCCGCAUCAGCCAAUGCUGCCAGUCUUCCUGAAGGUCUGCACUUCUCUGUGGGGAUGGGCUACAACAUAAAGGUCUUUCUCGGAAGAACCUCAGUGGGUUAAGUGGCCUGUGAUCUAAAACCACUUACUUGGUUUUUGACCCUCCUCCCUCCCCCUAAAUAAAACCUCAUUCUUUCAAAUUA